CCAGCAACAGCCAGAUCAUUUAAGAGCAAUGCCCCAGGAGACGGGGUAACAUUACCUCCGGGGUUCGUUUUAGUUCAAAUCUCAAUGGCUCCUUGCAGAGCACACGCGCAAAAAAAGCACAAGAAAAUGGGGAGGGGGAAGGUCAUCGCCUCCUGACAAGCAAGGAAGACAAACACUGCGGCAGGAAGAAAACAGGGACCGAGUUGCAGGGAGACAGCAGAGAAGAAUCCGAGAGCGCGGGUUCGGGGCGGAGAGGACCGGCUCGGAGGGGGCAGCGGCAGUUCCCCAAGGGAAGGAGCUUCUCAGAUAGAAAAAUAAACAUCUCCACGAAGUUGGAUACCCAUUGGAUUACUGAAAAAUAUCCUCAAGAAACGGACUGGUGCAAGUCCAGCAGGGCUGAAGAAGUCAAAU